GCCUUACUUGAUGAGGCGUCAUGUUAACGCGAAAAGGCGCAGAUGGAGUAUAUCGUAUACGAAGAGCGGCGAGCGUCAGUUGCAAGCCUGCCCUGUCGCAGAGAGCACCAUGGCGUCCGUGGCGGUGGUGCUGGCCGUCCUGCUGAUGGUGGGGAUCGGCGCUCCUGACGCCGCUGAUGCGGCGAGACUGAGGCCGCUCUCCGGAUGCUUCAUACACGGGUGUCCUUCCGGUCAAAUUUGCAAGCUGCAGCAGGUGGUCUGCUGCUGCGCGCCAUGCUACCCCAUUCCAGCCUGCGUCCCCAUCUUCCCCUGAGCCACCGUCUGCGAUCUCUGCGCCGGGUCACGACCCCGUUCGGAUCGACCUGACUCAACUACCAACGCCAAACUCGACUUCCUGAUUCAACUCGACAUUGCUUCACUGUCGCUGCUCCGUCAGCCACCUACCCCGGGCCAAGACCAUGUCAGGCUUCUGUCCACCGCCGGAACACGUGUUCCAGUUCAACGUGCAAUUCGGCGGGUACGACAACGAAGUUAACUCCACCCUGCCUUCCGCGUAUCCAGAGGACGAACAGCACCACCCUCGCCUGUCCGGGUUUGUGCCAUGACUUCAGGUGCCCCCCCCCCCCCCUCCCCUUCAGCCGCCGACAUCAUCGCGUGUGCUUGCCGGGCAGCUUCUCUUGUCGUGGCGGCGCCGGUCGUCGUGGUGGCUUCUUUUGUGGUCGCGGCUUUUCUUGUCGCGGCAGCGUUUACCAUUAAAUGUGCCGAUAGAAUACAUACUUUGACAUUA